UACGGAGGGUGCGAGCGUUGUUCGGAAUUACUGGGCGUAAAGGGCUCGUAGGCGGCCAACUAAGUCGGACGUGAAAUCCCCGGGCUCAACCCGGGAACUGCGUCCGAUACUGGCAGGCUUGAAUUCGGGAGAGGGAUGUGGAGUUCCAGGUGUAGCGGUGAAAUGCGUAGAUAUCUGGAGGAACACCGGUGGCGAAGGCGGCAUCCUGGACCGAUAUUGACGCUGAUGCGCGAAAGCCAGGGGAGCAAACGGG
rnacentral:rRNA from 1 species